rnacentral:rRNA from 1 species
UAAAGGUCGAAAGGGGAGAUUCAGUAUCCAUUCCUCGCCGCCGCUCCGCGCCGGAGGUACAACUCGGGGCGGCCCCUUCGGGGGCUGCCCUGGGCCUCCGGCGCGGUCUCGCGCGCGGGAGGUGGAGCGCACUUCUCCCCGAGUAGGACGCCGCGACCCGCUGGGUGUCGGUCUGAGGUCCGGGCGCGAGUCCGUGUCGCGGUUCGCCGCGUCGCGGAGCCCCGGUGUCCCGACCGACUGCUCGGCGGUCGAACGUGAGGAACUGGCCCGCGCUCCUCUUGCGCGCCCGUGCCGCUUGCGAGCGUCUGGCUGAACCCGUCGCGCGGACUCGUCCGCCGCGGGCCUGUCGGCGUUGUCGGCUCGCGGACUUCUCGGGCAGCGGCCUCUCCUGUUUGCGGCGCUCAAAGCUGGGCGGCCCACCCGGCCCGUCUUGAAACACGGACCAAGGAGUCUAACAUGUGCGCGAGUCAUUGGGUCCCUCGAAACCCAAGGGCGCAUUGAACGAGAAGGCCGUCCUCGCGGCGGCCGAGGGAGGAUGGGGAGUCGCUCGCGGCUCCCCCGCAUUCCCGGGGCGUCUCGUCUUACCGGCGCUCGUCGCCGGAAAGUGAGGCGCACCAAGAGCGCACACGUUGGGACCCGAAAGAUGGUGAACUAUGCCUGGCCAGGACGAAGUCAGGGGAAACCCUGAUGGAGGUCCGUAGCGAUUCUGACGUGC